GACGAACGCUGGCGGCGUGCUUAACACAUGCAAGUCGAACGGAGUCCAACGGAACUUCGGUUCUGUGAAGACUUAGUGGCGAACGGGUGAGUAACACGUGACUAAUCUGCCCCGGACUGGGGAAUAACAUCGGGAAACUGAUGCUAAUACCGCAUAUUGAGAUUUCAUCGCCUGGUGGAAUCUUGAAAGCUUCGGCGGUCCGGGAUGAGGUCGCGUCCUAUUAGUUUGUUGGUGGGGUAACGGCCUACCAAGGCGACGAUGGGUAGCCGGUCUGAGAGGAUGAUCAGCCACACUGGGACUGAGAUACGGCCCAGACUCCUACGGGAGGCGGCAGUGAGGAAUAUUGCGCAAUGGGCGAAAGCCUGACGCAGCAACGCCGCGUGAAGGAUGAAGGUGCUUUGCAUUGUAAACUUCUGUAGGGAGGGAAGAAUUGCCCGGGUUCCCCCGGGAGUGACGGUACCUCCAAAGUAAGCACCGGCUAAUUCCGUGCCAGCAGCCGCGGUAAUACGGAAGGUGCAAGCGUUGUCCGGAUUUACUGGGUGUAAAGGGCGUGUAGGCGGAGGAGCAUGUCGGAAGUGAAAUCGUGCGGCUUAACCGUAGCAAUAGCUUUCGAAACUGUUCCCCUUGAGUGCGGGAGAGGCAGAUGGAAUUCCAGGUGUAGCGGUGGAAUGCGUAGAUAUCUGGAAGAACACCGGAGGCGAAGGCGGUCUGCUGGCUCGUAACUGACGCUGAGGCGCGAAAGUGUGGGUAGCGAACAGGAUUAGAUACCCUGGUAGUCCACACCGUAAACGAUGGUCACUAGUCGUUGGGGGAUUCGACCCCUUCAGUGACGAAGCUAACGCAUUAGGUGACCCACCUGGGGAGUACGAUCGCAAGGUUGAAACUCAAAGGAGUUGACGGGGGCCCGCACAAGCGGUGGAGCAUGUGGUUUAAUUCGAUGCAACGCGAAGAACCUUACCUGGGCUCGAAGUGUGCUGUAAAACCAUGAAAGUGGUGUAUCUCUUCGGAGAGCGGUACAUAGGUGCUGCAUGGCUGUCGUCAGCUCGUGUCGUGAGAUGUUGGGUUAAGUCCCGCAACGAGCGCAACCCUUGUCCUUAGUUGCCAUCAGGUCAAGCUGGGAACUCUAAGGGGACUGCCGACGUUAAGUCGGAGGAAGGUGGGGAUGACGUCAAGUCCUCAUGGCCCUUAUGUCCAGGGCUACACACGUGCUACAAUGGCCGGUACAGAACGUCGCAAAACCGCGAGGUGGAGCUAAUCGGCAAAAACCGGUCUCAGUUCGGAUUGCACCCUGCAACUCGAGUGCAUGAAGUUGGAAUCGCUAGUAAACGCGAAUCAGCAGGUCGCGUUGAAUACGUUCCCGGGCCUUGUACACACCGCCCGUCACACCAUGGAAGUCGGUAGGACUCGACGGAUUUGAGCCAACCGCAAGGAGGCAGAGUCCUAAGGUCAGCCCGAUGACUGGGGUG
rnacentral:rRNA from 1 species